rnacentral:rRNA from 1 species
GACGAACGCUGGCGGCGUGCUUAACACAUGCAAGUCGAACGGUAAGGCUCCAGCUUGCUGGGGUACACGAGUGGCGAACGGGUGAGUAACACGUGGGUGACCUGCCCUGCACUUCGGGAUAAGCCUGGGAAACUGGGUCUAAUACCGGAUAGGACCGCACCGUGAGGGUGUGGUGGAAAGUUUUUUCGGUGUGGGAUGGGCCCGCGGCCUAUCAGCUUGUUGGUGGGGUAAUGGCGUACCAAGGCGGCGACGGGUAGCCGGCCUGAGAGGGUGGACGGCCACAUUGGGACUGAGACACGGCCCAGACUCCUACGGGAGGCAGCAGUGGGGAAUAUUGCACAAUGGGCGGAAGCCUGAUGCAGCGACGCCGCGUGGGGGAUGACGGCCUUCGGGUUGUAAACUCCUUUCACCAUCGACGAAGGGUUUCUGACGGUAGAUGGAGAAGAAGCACCGGCUAACUACGUG